rnacentral:rRNA from 1 species
GACGAACGCUGGCGGCGUGCUUAACACAUGCAAGUCGAACGGAAAGGCCCUGCUUUUGUGGGGUGCUCGAGUGGCGAACGGGUGAGUAACACGUGAGUAACCUGCCCUUGACUUUGGGAUAACUUCAGGAAACUGGGGCUAAUACAGGAUAGGAGCUCCUGCUGCAUGGUGGGGGUUGGAAAGUUUCGGCGGUUGGGGAUGGACUCGCGGCUUAUCAGCUUGUUGGUGGGGUAGUGGCUUACCAAGGCUUUGACGGGUAGCCGGCCUGAGAGGGUGACCGGCCACAUUGGGACUGAGAUACGGCCCAGACGCCUACGGUGGGCAGCAGUCGGGAAUAUUGCACAAUGGGCGGGAGCCUGAUGCAGCAACGCCGCGUGCGGGAUGACGGCCUUCGGGUUGUAAACCGCUUUCGCCUGUGACGAAGCGUGAGUGACGGUAAUGGGUAAAGAAGCACCGGCUAACUACGUG